UUCGCGCGAAACUAACAGAAGAAACAGAAGCUGGAAGAAGAAUCUGGACAUGGAAAUUCUCCUCCCGCAACUCUAUUCUCCUUUUUAUAAGUCCACCGAUCAGCCCUCCUCUUCGCCAUCGAACCGCAAAACAUAGCAAGCUAAUAUCUCUCUACACCUUUUAUUUCAAAGUUUUCUCAAGCUCAAACCUAUCUUUUUAACAAUGUCGCUGAUUCCAAGCUUCUUCGGCCACCGAAGCAGCGUCUUCGAUCCCUUCUCCCUCGACGUUUGGGAGCCGUUUUGGAAUUCCCCUCUCCGUUCAUCGUCAAUUUCUCGGGAGAGUUCCGCGAUCAUUAACACUCGUGUGGACUGGAAGGAGACCCCGGAGGCGCACGUGUUCGCGGCGGAUCUCCCGGGGAUGAAGAAGGAGGAGGUGAAAGUGGAGGUGGAAGAUAACAGGGUGCUGAAGAUCAGCGGGGAGAGACACGUGGAGGAGGAGGAGAAGAACGAGACGUGGCACCGUGUGGAACGUAGGAGCGGGAAGUUCUCGAGGAGGUUCAGGUUGCCGGAGAACGUGAAGAUGGAAGAGGUGAAGGCUUCAAUGGAAAAUGGGGUGCUCACUGUUACUGUACCUAAAGCUGAAGUGAAGAAGCCUGACGUUAAGGCUAUCGAGAUUUCUGGUUGAAAGUUUCGAACCCUGGGUUGUCGUCUUGGUCACGUCUUCUGCAACAGGUAAAGCCAGAGGAGGUUUUGAUGUGCAUUCAUUUCUAUGGAAACCAGGUAGAGCCGGAGUAGAGCCUGUGGAGGUUUGAUGUGUGGUCAUUUCUAUGGAAAUCAGUAUGCAGAUGGCUAAGGAGAGUGUAAUAUCGCACAAAUUGAAUUUCAGAGAUGAUCAAGAAAUCAUAAUCAUGCGAUUGAAUUAACGUGAUGAGACCAAAGAAUUCAGCAUCAGGCUGAUUCUGUGUUGCCGUCAUCUAAGAC